UAGAGCACCCCGUGCAAUUUUACUAUUUUUUUUAAAUAUAGAGUAAAAAAUAUUUACUUUACCUAAUUGUUCACAAACUCUACCUGAUUGGCAUGCUUUGCGCUUGUUCAAUUAUUCAUCAAAAUAUACUAGAUUGGCCUAACUUUAUAUUAUCUGUAAUUGACUUAUCUGUUAAAUUGUUCAUCAAAAUCUUUCCGAUUGGCAUAAUUUUUUGUAUUGUUCAACAAAAUGUUCUUUGAAUUUGUAAUUUCAAUUUUGAUUAAACCAUACCAAAUCUUCUCUGAGUGAUCUCAAAUUUAAAACAAAGCCCCUAAAUAUCAACACCAAUAAUUUUUAAUCAUCAAUUUAGUCAAAAUAACACCAAAUCAAGAAGACCCACUUUAUCUUCUUCAAUACUUUCUAAGGAUCAAUAAUGGUGUUUUGAGAUUUUUAAAGUAAAUAUUAAAUCAGUAUUUAGACUGAAAAUUUUCAACACUCAAACGAUUUAAUAGUAAUUAACCAUUAACUUCGAAUUUCAAACCCCAAACAAGAAUUUUAAUCUUCCAAAUAUGAAGAAUUAUGGUAUUUUUGGUGAAGAAGAAGAGAUGGAGAAUGAGCUAAAGGGGAAAUUAUGAUAUUUAGCAUACAAGGAAAAGAAGUGGAGUCCAUUUAUUAAAUUUCGCCAAUUAUUGGGAUAUUCAACUAAGACUAACCUCAUUGGGGCAUACUUCGCACAAUUUGUAUGGGGAUCUUUAUACAAUAACAUAUGCAUUGUUUACUUUUUCUAAUCAUAUAACAUAGACUAUACAUUGAUUAUAUACAAUUAUGCAUAUAUAAUAUAUAUAUCUUUCGACCAUUUUUAGUUUAAAUAGUUGGAUGAACGGCUUUUGUGUUAAUUCUUUCAUUUUUAUGCAUGAUCCUGUAACUGGGCUGAACAGAAAAUGGACUGAAAUGGAUAAUUGACCCUUUUCGCUGCGAUGGCCCAGCUUAGUUAGGGGUGCAAUAACUCUGGUUUGGCACAUAGUGAAGUGUCAUACUGGGCUGGAGUGAAUUGAGAUUGAGUGAGUCGGCCCCCAUGUUCACCGAUUCCCUCUUCUUUCAGCUCGGCACAAAAUUAGGCCUUUUGCUUUGUUUGCUUCUUGAGUUAUGUGGAACAUACGUACAUAUCACAUCAAGCGAGCAAUGGUUCGUUUUCUCUCUGCAAUAAGCGCACGGCAAUGGCCUCGAUUCGAACCUCCUGCAUUGCCAUUCCUUCCAGUUGUUUCAUCCUCAGGCAGUCCGGUUCAUGUCCUACUCUUUAAUCAAGAACGCCCUCGCCAGUUUCUCCAAUGCGGGCAUUUUAUUUUUACGCAGCAGAAGCAGUGGCAAAGGCGUGGGACCUCUGUUUGUUCCAUACAAGCGAAGUGAGCAACGAAGAAGAAACUGAGGCUAUCACCUCCUCUGCAGAUACUGAAGCCCUUGAACACGUCGCCCAAGUCAAACGAGUUUAGUAUCUCGCCAUCAUUUCCAUUGCCUAAUUGCCCCUAAUUACCUUGAUGAGUAUCUUUUGAUACGUGUUUCUUUAACAUGAUUGCCCCUUCCAGUUGCUUCUUUCACCUCUGAAUAUCACUCAAAUUUUUUGCUGCACAUCCCCUUAGUGACUUAGUCUCAUUUUAUUUGACACAAUUUGAGUGAGCUUGCAGUUAAUUUGACUAGUGUAUAUACUCCAUGCAUUCCGUUUUGUAUGUAAAAGAAGUACAUUAGUUGGAGUGAAGACAAUAUUAAAAUAAUGGCUGUAAUUUUAGCUUUUAGAAAAAGCAUUACAUCAAAGCUUAAAUGUUGAAUUUAAAUGAACUUUUUUUUUUUGAUAACAUGAAAUGCUCGAAACUUGGUUGGAUAAUGAGCCCUACACCUCUAUCCUUUCUCCACUAAAAUACCACGCUUUUGUCUCCGACAUGAUUCAAAAUCGUGGCGUGCGCAAAACUGACACAUCACAUGAUGCACUCUUACCAUUAAUUAAACCAAACCCCUGGGGGCAAAUGAAUUUGAAUUCAUGGUAAUUUAAGUUGUUAUAUAAUAUUAUUAGUAGAAUGGGGGGAAACAUUUUUGAGACGUCCAAAGAUAUAUAUAGUUUGACCAGUAGUAUUAGUAUUAUUCUUGUAUUUCUUUAUUCUUAGAUUUGUAUUACUACUUGUUGUUUCGUUCGCUUCAAUUAUCUUAUUAUCUUGUUGUUGUUACAGUUGGUUGCUAUUGCUUCCUUCUUUUUUUUCCUCCUUUCCUUGAGCCGAGGGUCUACCGGAAACAACCUCUCUACUUUCACAAAGUAGGGGUAAGGUUUGCAUACACACUAGCCUCCCCAGAACCCACUUGUGAGAUUACACUGGUUGUUGCUAUUACAUUUUAACUGCAGUUUCUUUCUCUCGAGUUGCUAUUAUAAUGUGGCGCUGCUAUUUUAGAACCUUAUGGAGUGUCUUAAUUAUUUUGCCAAAACAGGUAACACAAAAGUCAAUUUGUUUCUCAAUUGAUUUAUGUUAACAUUGACUUCCCCCUGUUAUUUUGGGAUUAUUACAGGUUAAGUUAACUAUAAUGAUUGAAGACCCAAGAGAUGUUGAGCGGAGGAGGCUGCUUGGCCUUGAUGAUGAAAAUGCUCCAACAAGGGACGACUUAGCUGAUGCACUGGAAGAAGUAGCCCUUGCAAGGUUGAGUGUUGUGAAACAGGAGUCUCAAGGUCGCCAUGUCUUGUGUCAAGAAGAGGAACAGGAAUGUGACUCAGAAGGCUGUGUAUACACCUGUUAAUACACCCUAAGGGCAUCCUUUUGUAUUCUGCUGCUGCCUGUAGCAGGCAGCUGGCAAAGCUGUGUUUGAUCGUCGCAUACAUGCCCAUCACAGCUUUAUUAUUUUGGGACAUCUUGAAAAUAAACUAUACCUCAUGUAAAAAAGUGAUGGAAGGAGCAGCAAUGGAUUUUCUUUUCCUUUGCUUUAUCUGGCCGCCAUAGUUCUGAAUGAUUGGUUUAUGCUAGGCAAUAUGUAAAUACUCGGCUUGCCUUAACAGGGUAAACCUGUAACCAGUUCAAGGAAAAAAGGUUUUGGGUAGUUUUUGAAGUGUUUUAUGAUGUUGGAAGCAAAGUCUGAAUAGUACCUGAAGAUUGUAUUUCUCUGCGGAUGCUGGCCCAAGAGAUGACUUAUUGGCCUAAUUUAGAGGUUUAAGCCUCAAAGAAAAUCAGACCUAGCAAAUCUCUGUAUGCGAAAGCCACAACACCGGUAUUGAUCUGAAAGCGGCUGCUAAGCGACUCAACAUGGACUGAGGAAGCUGGUGAGAGUGAUGAGCCUGAAGUUCCUCCAGCUGUGGCUAGUGAAUGAGAUAAUGCUAAGAAUCUGUAUUUUGAUAUUUAGCUAGGCAUUUAGUCUGUGUGCAAUCUAGUGUAGCGUUAAGAGCACCAAUUUUAACUUUAUUUUUUGGACAGCUAUGGAGGAUAAUAAAUUAACUUUUCUUUUA